rnacentral:sRNA from 1 species
AACAAAAUUAUACGUAAAAAUUUCGUAGUUAUCAUUUUCUUUUUUUAAAUAAUAUUAAAAUUAUAAAAUGGAUUACACUUGGGCGGUUACAUUGCUGUUGGGUUGCGUAUUGGGCUUUGUAGUCGGUCUCCAUUCGUAAACCGCAAAGAGAACAUGCUUUGAGACGUCACGUUCCAAGCAACCCCAAGGAAUCAGAUCAGUAUAAAGUAGUGUUCCGUGAGUAUCGUAUCGUUCUCUACACAACCUAUUUUUUUUUUUGGAUUUUCUAAAUUUUUGGAUUUGUAAAGGUAAUUCAAGUAGAUAGGGGUAUAUAAACAGAAAAGAAAAUGAAGUUGGAUUGGCUAGUCACUCUGCUGGUGGGCUGCAUUCUUGGUUAUUUAAUUGGCGUUCAAUGUUGAGCUUCCAGCAAGUCGAGAAACUAGAUGAAAAAUUGACAUGAGUUAAGAAAUUUCUCAGAGGGGAGACGACGUUGCUCAUAACCACAUUAUCUAGUGUAAGGACAUUUUUUCUCCCCAAGGAAUCAGAUCAGUAUAAAGUAGUGUUCCGUGAGUAAUUCAAGUAGAUAGGGGUAUAUAAACAGAAAAGAAAAUGGAGUUGGAUUGGCUAGUCACUCUGCUGGUGGGCUGCAUUCUUGGUUAUUUAAUUGGCGUUCAUUGUUGAGCUUCCAGCAAGUCGAGAAAAUAUAUGCAAAAUUGACAUGAGUUAAGAAAUUUCUCAGAGGGGAGACGACGUUGCUCAUAACCACAUUAUCUAGUGUAAGGACAUUUUUUUCUCCACUAGAUCUUCAUGAUGAGUCACAUUAUAUCAUAUGGCCUGGGUUUAAUAACGGGCUUGAUGCUGUGCAAACGUUGUGGUCCACCCUAACCAGGUUACAAAAUUACCGAUUGAAGAAACUAAAUCAUUUCCUAUCAAGACAUAUAAAUCAAAUAUGUACAAACUAGAUAAAGUGCAAUAAUAUUAGAAAUAUGUAGUAUAUAAGCAAUAAAUAAUGAUCAAAUAUUGA